UUUAUGGAGAGUUUGAUCCUGGCUCAGGAUGAACGCUGGCGGCAUGCCUAAUACAUGCAAGUCGAGCGAACGGA
rnacentral:rRNA from 1 species